rnacentral:tRNA from 1 species
UCUCUGAUGGUCCAGUGUCUAAGACUCCAUGCUUCUAAUGCAGGGAGCCUGGGUUCCAUUCCUGGUCAGGGAA